GACCCUACGGGGCGCAGCAGUGAGGAAUAUUGGUCAAUGGGAGAGAUCCUGAACCAGCCAAGCCGCGUGAGGGAAGACGGCCCUAUGGGUUGUAAACCUCUUUUGUCGGGGAGCAAGACCCGCCUCGUGCAGGCGGAGCGAGAGUACCCGAAGAAAAAGCAUCGGCUAACUCCGUGCCAGCAGCCGCGGUAAUACGGAGGAUGCGAGCGUUAUCCGGAUUUAUUGGGUUUAAAGGGUGCGUAGGCGGAAUGCCAAGUCAGCGGUAAAAUCGCGGGGCUCAACCCCGCUCCGCCGUUGAAACUGGC
rnacentral:rRNA from 1 species